UCCACUUACCUGGUCCCGGGUCCUUCGU
rnacentral:sRNA from 1 species